AAGUUUGAUCAUGGCUCAGGAUGAACGCUAGCGGCACGCUUAAUACAUGCAAGUCGAGGGGCAACCUGUUUGUUUGCCUACAAAUGCUGGCGACCCGCAAACGGGUGCGGAACACGUACACAACCUUCCUUUCUUGGGGAAUAGCCCAAAGAAAUUUGGAUUAAUACACCGUAUCAUUAUAAUGUGGCAUCACAUUAUAAUUAGAACUCCGGCUCUUAAUGAUGGGUGUGCGGCUGAUUAUGUAGUUGGCGGGGUAACGGCCCACCAAGCCUGCGAUCAGUAACUGGUGUGAGAGUCGACCAGUCACACGGGCACUGACACACGGGCCCGACUCCUACGGGAGGCAGCAGGAGGAAUAUUGGGCAAUGGAGGCAACUCUGACCCAACCAUGCCGCGUGGAGGAUGAAGGCCCUCUGGGUUGUAAACUUCUUUUAUUUGGGACGAAAAAGGGCUUUUCUAAGUCAACUGACGGUACCAGAUGAAUAAGCACCGGCUAACUCCGUGCCAGCAACCGCGGUAAUACGGAGGGUGCAAGCGUUAUCCGGAUUCACUGGGUUUAAAGGGUGCGUAAGUGGGUUGGUAAGUCAGGGGUGAGCUCCUCGAGCUUGACUUGACAACUGCCCUUGAUACUACAGUCUUGAAUAUUGUGGAGGUCAGCGGAAUAUGUCAUGUAGCGGUGAAAUGCUUACAUAUGACAUACAACACCAAUUGCGAAGGCAGCUGGCUACACAUAUAUUGACACUGAGGCACGAACGCGUGCGGAUCAACAGGAUUAGAUACCCUGGUAGUCCACGCCCUAACUAU
rnacentral:rRNA from 1 species